UACGGAGGAUGCAAGCGUUAUCCGGAUUUAUUGGGUUUAAAGGGUGCGCAGGUUGUUUGAUAAGUCAGUGGUGAAAGUCUGUCGCUUAACGGUAGGAUUGCCAUUGAUACUGUUAGACUUGAAUAUGGAUGAGGUAGGCGGAAUGUGUAGUGUAGCGGUGAAAUGCAUAGAUAUUACACAGAACACCGAUUUCGAAGGCAGCUUACUAAUCCAUCAUUGACGCUGAGGCACGAAAGCGUGGGGAUCAAACAGGAUUA
rnacentral:rRNA from 1 species